rnacentral:rRNA from 1 species
GAUCUCCUACGGGAGGCAGCAGUGGGGAAUAUUGCACAAUGGGCGCAAGCCUGAUGCAGCCAUGCCGCGUGUAUGAAGAAGGCCUUCGGGUUGUAAAGUACUUUCAGCAGUGAGGAAGGUGGUAGUGUUAAUAGCACUAUCAUUUGACGUUAGCUGCAGAAGAAGCACCGGCUAACUCCGUGCCAGCAGCCGCGGUAAUACGGAGGGUGCGAGCGUUAAUCGGAAUUACUGGGCGUAAAGCGCAUGCAGGUGGUUUGUUAAGUCAGAUGUGAAAGCCCGGGGCUCAACCUCGGAAUUGCAUUUGAAACUGGCAGACUAGAGUACUGUAGAGGGGGGUAGAAUUUCAGGUGUAGCGGUGAAUGCGUAGAGAUCUGAAGGAACACCAGUGGCGAAAGCGACA